rnacentral:rRNA from 1 species
UGGGGAAUAUUGCGCAAUGGGCGAAAGCCUGACGCAGCGACGCCGCGUGAGGGAUGAAGGUUUUCGGAUCGUAAACCUCUGUCAGAAGGGAAGAAACUACGUUGUGCUAAUCAGCAGCAUACUGACGGUACCUUCAAAGGAAGCACCGGCUAACUCCGUGCCAGCAGCCGCGGUAAUACGGAGGGUGCAAGCGUUAAUCGGAAUUACUGGGCGUAAAGCGCACGUAGGCUGUAGUGUAAGUCAGGGGUGAAAUCCCACGGCUCAACCGUGGAACUGCCUUUGAUACUGCACAACUUGAAUCCGGGAGAGGGUGGCGGAAUUCCAGGUGUAGGAGUGAAAUCCGUAGAUAUCUGGAGGAGCAUCAGUGGCGAAGGCGGCCACCUGGACCGGUAUUGACGCUGAGGUGCGAAAGCGUGGGGAGCAAACAG